rnacentral:rRNA from 1 species
GAUCAUGGCUCAGGACGAACGCUGGCGGCGUGCUUAACACAUGCAAGUCGAACGAAGCUUGAUUACGGAUUCUUCGGAUGAAGUAUGAUAUGACUGAGUGGCGGACGGGUGAGUAACGCGUGAGUAACCUGCCCUUCAGAGGGGGAUAGCGUUUGGAAACGAACGGUAAUACCGCAUAAUGUAUUUUGACCGCAUGAUCGAAAUACCAAAGAUUUAUCGCUGAAGGAUGGACUCGCG